CCCUUGCCUUUUUGAGUACCACACGUUUCCUCGGCAGGCUCGCCUGCCAAUGGGGACCCAAACAUAAACCUGAAUCACCCGUCAUAGUCUGAGAAAAUCAUAAAAAUUAAAACUUUCAACAACGGAUCUCUUGGUUCUGGCAUCGAUGAAGAACGCAGCGAAAUGCGAUAAGUAAUGUGAAUUGCAGAAUUCAGUGAAUCAUCGAAUCUUUGAACGCACAUUGCGCCCUCUGGUAUUCCGGGGGGCAUGCCUGUUCGAGCGUCGUUACAACCCUCAAGCUUUGCUUGGUAUUGGACAUUGCCAGUUUCUGGCAGGUCUUAAAAUCAGUGGCGGUGCCUUCUGGCUUCAAGCGUAGUAAUUCUUCUCGCUUUGGAGACCCAGGAGGUUACUUGCCAAUAACCCCCAAUUUUUUCAGGUUGACCUCGGAUCAGGUAGGGAUACCCGCUGAACUUAAGCAUAUCAAUAAGCGGAGG
rnacentral:rRNA from 1 species